AAUAAUAAAUGUUUUAGUUGAAAAUGUAUGGUUACAGCUGGCCGUCCAAAGUAACAGCUUGGGAUGACACAGUUAAAAGAAAUGCGGUACAAUAUUUUAAUAAAUCACUUUAUCGAGAUCUGCGUCUGAGCAUCUUCUCAUCUUCUCCAACCUGCCUUCUCUUUCUUCUUCAUUUGUGUUUUACUUCACAGAAAGAAUCAUACAAGCUCUCUCGUCUUCUCUCUUUUUCCGUGCUCUAUCCUCCUUACAAACUGAAACGCUUGAUUAUGAAUGAAACCGCGGAACUCAGAUAGUCGCCGGAGUUCUCGCCGGAGUUGGCGAGUCGGCUUUGCACAUAACGAAUCCGAUCCGGAUUCCGUGUCCGUACCCGGGUCGUGUCGUGUCGACACGGGUAUGGCAGGGGAAACAGGCGAGUCCGAGC
rnacentral:lncRNA from 1 species